UACGUAGGGGGGCAAGCGUUUGUCCGGAAUCAUUGGGCGUAAAGAGCGCGUAGGCGGUCCAGUAAGUCCGCUCUGAAAGUCCGGGGGCUCAACCCCGGGAGGCGGGCGGAUACUGCUGGGCUAGAGUCCGGAAGAGGCGAGUGGAAUUCCUGGUGUAGCGGUGAAAUGCGUAGAGAUCGGAAAGAACACCAACGGCGAAAGCACUCUGCUGGGCCGACACUGACACUGAGAGACGAAAGCUAGGGGAGCGAAUGGG
rnacentral:rRNA from 1 species